rnacentral:rRNA from 1 species
GAUGAACGCUGGCGGCGUGCCUAAUACAUGCAAGUCGAGCGAACAGAUAAGGAGCUUGCUCCUUUGACGUUAGCGGCGGACGGGUGAGUAACACGUGGGUAACCUACCUAUAAGACUGGAAUAACUCCGGGAAACCGGGGCUAAUGCCGGAUAACAUUUAGAACCGCAUGGUUCUAAAGUGAAAGAUGGUUUUGCUAUCACUUAUAGAUGGACCCGCGCCGUAUUAGCUAGUUGGUAAGGUAACGGCUUACCAAGGCAACGAUACGUAGCCGACCUGAGAGGGUGAUCGGCCACACUGCAACUGAGACACGGUCCAGACUCCUACGGGAGGCAGCAGUAGGGAAUCUUCCGCAAUGGGCGAAAGCCUGACGGAGCAACGCCGCGUGAGUGAUGAAGGUCUUCGGAUCGUAAAACUCUGUUAUUAGGGAAGAACAAAUGUGUAAGUAACUGUGCACGUCUUGACGGUACCUAAUCAGAAAGCCACGGCUAACUACGUG